rnacentral:rRNA from 1 species
AUGAGAUCCCACCAUCGGGUCCUCGCCGCCCACGCAAGGCGAGGAAGUCCGGCCACACACCCGCGGCCAUCCUCCAUCAAGGAAGGCGCCGCCCACCUUGACCAGGGCCGCCACCCCGGCACACCAAGCUCUCCACGCGAGGAGCAGCCAGCCCCGCCACCACCUUCCUCGAUGCCGUGCGGGCUUGCCGGCGGCUAUCUCUGGUGGCGGCGAGAUCUAGAGGGAGGGGGAAGGGGGCCGGCGGCGCUAGAGUUGGGGCCGCCCGAGUCGCCCCAGAGGAGCGACGCGGGGGCAGGAGGAGCGAAUGUUGGUUCAUGCCAUGAGCCCGAGAUAUAA